UAGAUGGCAUGCAAUAACAAUAACCCGCAACUAAGGUCCAAACAAUGGGAAACAGUAAGAUUAGUAUGAACUCUACAUUAGACACAAGCCGUCUAAGACCAUCCUACACAAACUCGCUUCGCAUUUGGUGGUCGAAUAUGCAUUUGGUGUUUGUAUGAAAAUGGUGGUCCAAUAUGUAUUUGGUGUUUUUUUCUAGUUUCUUUAUGUGAUGUCAUGUUGACUUUACUCUUUUAUUGCCAAAUAAGGGUUAAGAGAACAUGUUGUGUU
rnacentral:lncRNA from 1 species